rnacentral:rRNA from 1 species
AUACGGAGGGUGCAAGCGUUAAUCGGAAUUACUGGGCGUAAAGCGCGCGUAGGCGGCUUUGUAAGUCGGAUGUGAAAGCCCUGGGCUUAACCUGGGAAUGGCAUUCGAUACUGCAGAGCUAGAGUAUGGUAGAGGGAAGUGGAAUUUCCGGUGUAGCGGUGAAAUGCGUAGAUAUCGGAAGGAACACCAGUGGCGAAGGCGACUUCCUGGGCCAAUACUGACGCUGAGGUGCGAAAGCGUGGGGAGCAAACAGGAUUAGAAACCCCAGUAGUCC